GGGUUGUGAGGUUAAGCGACUAAGCGUACACGGUGGAUGCCCUGGCAGUCAGAGGCGAUGAAGGACGUGCUAAUCUGCGAUAAGCGCCGGUAAGGUGAUAUGAACCGUUAUAACCGGCGAUUUCCGAAUGGGGAAACCCAGUGUGACUCGUCACACUAUCAUUAACUGAAUCCAUAGGUUAAUGAGGCGAACCGGGGGAACUGAAACAUCUAAGUACCCCGAGGAAAAGAAAUCAACCGAGAUUCCCCCAGUAGCGGCGAGCGAACGGGGAGGAGCCCAGAGCCUGAAUCAGCAUGUGUGUUAGUGGAAGCGUCUGGAAAGGCGCGCGAUACAGGGUGACAGCCCCGUACACAAAAGCGCAUAUGCUGUGAGCUCGAUGAGUAGGGCGGGACACGUGGUAUCCUGUCUGAAUAUGGGGGGACCAUCCUCCAAGGCUAAAUACUCCUGACUGACCGAUAGUGAACCAGUACCGUGAGGGAAAGGCGAAAAGAACCCCGGCGAGGGGAGUGAAAAAGAACCUGAAACCGUGUACGUACAAGCAGUGGGAGCCCCACCACUAAGCCAGUGGUGAACUCCACAUACGCAUCCUUUGCUGAGGAUACGGUUAACGGAGCGAAAGCGACGUUCAACCGCAAAAGAAGCAGAGGGGGCUUAGUGGUGGGGUGACUGCGUACCUUUUGUAUAAUGGGUCAGCGACUUAUAUUCUGUAGCAAGGUUAACCGAAUAGGGGAGCCGGAGGGAAACCGAGUCUUAAC
rnacentral:rRNA from 2 species